rnacentral:rRNA from 1 species
CCUACGGGUGGCAGCAGUGAGGAAUAUUGGUCAAUGGACGAGAGUCUGAACCAGCCAAGUAGCGUGAAGGAUGACUGCCCUAUGGGUUGUAAACUUCUUUUAUAAAGGAAUAAAACGAGGCACGUGUGCCUUUUUGCAUGUACUUUAUGAAUAAGGAUCGGCUAACUCCGUGCCAGCAGCCGCGGUAAUACGGAGGAUCCGAGCGUUAUCCGGAUUUAUUGGGUUUAAAGGGAGCGUAGAUGGGUUGUUAAGUCAGUUGUGAAAGUUUGUGGCUCAACCAUGAGAGUGCGGCGCGAACUGGAGACCUUGAGUGCGCGGAAGGCAGGCGGAAUUCGUGGUGUAGCGGUGAAAUGCUUAGAUAUCACGAAGAACCCCGAUUGCGAAGGCAGCCUGCCGCAGCGUUACUGACGCUGAAGCUCGAAAGCGCGGGUAUCGAACAGGAUUAGAUACCCUAGUAGUC